ensembl:lncRNA
UAAGAAUGUAUAUCUCCGGCCCUCUGAUGAUCUCAACUGGAGUUGAAUCAUUCCAUCCAAGUGAGCCUGAUUUUCAGCUUGUUUAUACUGCAAAAUGAGUAGCAAAGUAAGAGGACACGCACAGUAGGAUUUAUGUGGAGUGAGUACAUCUGGGAAUCACUGAUGGUCAAGAGUCAGCACGGAAUGACACAGAAACCAUCUGACCGGGGAAAUGGUGGAAAUGUAAGAGAAGUAGCAGACUGGAGGAAGUAACGGCUGGGUCUCCAGCUAGACAGUUCUGAAGGCCCGGUUUUGUGGAGCGGUGAGGGGGAGGAAAUGCACGCUGUGGACAAAGGCUAACGGCAAGGAGAAAGGAAGGAGAAGAACAGCACCAGGGCUCCAGGAAAAUCAACCAACUCCAAAGCCCAGGAGGUCAUAAAGCUUCAUGAGAGGAUGUAGUGCCAAAGUCCUGCCCUGGGGAGCAGAACAAACAGUCCAAGAAGCUGGGAAGACCAACAUGUGCUUGAACACGUGGAGUUUUCCAGAGGCUACGUGAUGUGUGAUAUGGCAACAGAUUGAAUAUAGAAGCAAACAUGAGAAUCCAGCUGCAAAAAGAUUUGCAGAACUGCAAAAUAAUGCCACUCUCCUCAUUAAUUUUUUUUGGUUUAGAAAAUAGUGCUAUUUUCAUUAAAGUAAAUUAUUUAUUCUAGCAUAUAAUGGAUUAGUUGUUGCUAUUUUAAAAUAAAUUAAUAAAAAAUAUUUUUAAAAUUU